GAUUCUCUAACUUAAUGGUAAAGUGCAUUUUUGAUAAGAAUGUCAUCCAAGUUCGAUCCUUGGGAGAAUUA
rnacentral:tRNA from 1 species